CCCUUCGGGGUGUGACUGCGUACCUUUUGUAUAAUGGGUCAGCGACUUAUAUUCUGUAGCAAGGUUAACCGUAUAGGGGAGCCGGAGGGAAACCGAGUCUUAACCGGGCGUUAAGUUGCAGGGUAUAGACCCGAAACCCGGUGAUCUAGCCAUGGGCAGGUUGAAGGUUGGGUAACACUAACUGGAGGACCGAACCGACUAAUGUUGAAAAAUUAGCGGAUGACCUGUGGCUGGGGGUGAAAGGCCAAUCAAACCGGGAGAUAGCUGGUUCUCCCCGAAAGCUAUUUAGGUAGCGCCUCGUGAAUUCAUCUCCGGGGGUAGAGCACUGUUUCGGCUAGGGGGCCAUCCCGGCUUACCAACCCGAUGCAAACUGCGAAUACCGGAGAAUGUUAUCACGGGAGACACACGGCGGGUGCUAACGUCCGUCGUGAAGAGGGAAACAACCCAGACCGCCAGCUAAGGUCCCAAAGUCAUGGUUAAGUGGGAAACGAUGUGGGAAGGCCCAGACAGCCAGGAUGUUGGCUUAGAAGCAGCCAUCAUUUAAAGAAAGCGUAAUAGCUCACUGGUCGAGUCGGCCUGCGCGGAAGAUGUAACGGGGCUAAACCAUGCACCGAAGCUGCGGCAGCGAACGUAUCACCCAAGACAACUUUACGGAGUUGACGAUUGACGGAGCGAAGCGACGUCAAAGCGUUCAUUAAAGUCGAGUUGGCUUAGGGAUACGUUCGUUGGGUAGGGGAGCGUUCUGUAAGCCUGUGAAGGUGUGUCGUGAGGCAUGCUGGAGGUAUCAGAAGUGCGAAUGCUGACAUAAGUAACGAUAAAGCGGGUGAAAAGCCCGCUCGCCGGAAGACCAAGGGUUCCUGUCCAACGUUAAUCGGGGCAGGGUGAGUCGACCCCUAAGGCGAGGCCGAAAGGCGUAGUCGAUGGGAAACGGGUUAAUAUUCCCGUACUUGGUGUUACUGCGAAGGGGGGACGGAGAAGGCUAUGUUGGCCGGGCGACGGUUGUCCCGGUUUAAGCGUGUAGGUGUGUGUUCCAGGUAAAUCCGGUUCACUUUAACACUGAGGCGUGAUGACGAGGCACUACGGUGCUGAAGCAACAAAUGCCCUGCUUCCAGGAAAAGCCUCUAAGCAUCAGGUAACAUCAAAUCGUACCCCAAACCGACACAGGUGGUCAGGUAGAGAAUACCAAGGCGCUUGAGAGAACUCGGGUGAAGGAACUAGGCAAAAUGGUGCCGUAACUUCGGGAGAAGGCACGCUGACACGUAGGUGAAGUGAUUUACUCACGGAGCUGAAGUCAGUCGAAGAUACCAGCUGGCUGCAACUGUUUAUUAAAAACACAGCACUGUGCAAACACGAAAGUGGACGUAUACGGUGUGACGCCUGCCCGGUGCCGGAAGGUUAAUUGAUGGGGUCAGCGCAAGCGAAGCUCCUGAUCGAAGCCCCGGUAAACGGCGGCCGUAACUAUAACGGUCCUAAGGUAGCGAAAUUCCUUGUCGGGUAAGUUCCGACCUGCACGAAUGGCGUAAUGAUGGCCAGGCUGUCUCCACCCGAGACUCAGUGAAAUUGAACUCGCUGUGAAGAUGCAGUGUACCCGCGGCAAGACGGAAAGACCCCGUGAACCUUUACUAUAGCUUGACACUGAACAUUGAGCCUUGAUGUGUAGGAUAGGUGGGAGGCUUUGAAGUGUGGACGCCAGUCUGCAUGGAGCCGACCUUGAAAUACCACCCUUUAAUGUUU
rnacentral:rRNA from 1 species